UCUCUCUCUCUCUCUCUCUCUCUCUCUCUCUGCUUCCUGCUUGCCAGAAGUUGGAGAAAUGAACUCUCAGUGGCUGCAGCUAUGUCUGUCUCCUGCUGCCACAAUCUCCCGCCCUGAUGGACUCUCAGCUCUCCAGAACUGUUACCCAGUCUAGAGAACUACUCACAGACAACCCCAGAGGUGUCUUCUAAGUGAUUCCAAGUCCAAUCAAUUCAAUGGUGAGGAUUAACCAUAGUCAUGUCUUUGCUGAAGAAAAAUGUAAUGAAACGCAGCAGUCCCAGAGCAGCAAUGAACUUAGAGUGAACAACUUCCUCACGGGGUACAUCAAAUAGGACCAGUGUGGCAGCAAGGACCCCAUCUACCUAACUCCUGUUCCCUCACACCGAAUCUCCCUUCCAGCAGGAGCAGGAGGAAAUUUCCAGGAUCCAAACCAAACCUCAGGUGCAUAAUGACAAAAAGGAUGAAGAGGAACUUGUCAUGUGCACUUCUGUCCAAUAAAACCAUCCUUUCCAGGGUGCCAUGCUGAGUUCAUUGCUUUUCUUUCGCAAAAUGAGGACUUGCUUGAGUUUUGGCUCUCAGGAAAAACCCAUAGGCAAGAGAAGCAGUUCAGAAAAUAAGGCCAGCAAAGGUGGCUGGUGAAGGUGAGAGGCACGGUGGGGAAGGAAGGCUAGAGCCAGGGUAAGAAGCGAGAAGCCGGAAGCACUGCUUUGACCUCCUGUUCUGUUUUGGAGUAACAAUUAAUCAAAAACACACUGAGCCUCCAUUUUCCUGUGAUUAUUAUUCACUCAGCCACAAGGCCACGUUCCAGGAUGAUCUUGAAUGGAGAUAUUGUACAAGCCCUGUUGGGGGAGAGACUGGUUGCUAUCAACUUUGACCACAACAGAUGUAAAAUAACGGACUGCGAUAUUCUUUGGGAAAGUUUUGAGUUCUUUUUCCUGGAAACGAGAAAAAGACAUCUUUUUUUCAUUGCUGUGCUUCUCUUUGCUCAGGGGGUUGUGCGGUUUCCAUUCAGCCUGGACUACAGAGAAAGGCUUUCUCCUGGGCGAUGAUUAGCAAUGCAAAGGGAUGGGAGGUCUGAGACACAACAUAAAGAAAUUCUAUGGCGUGCCUGCUGUAGGUUUGCCUUUGUGCCUGCUUCCUAGGGUGAAUUCAUCCCUAGCCCUUGAAAAGAUUAGGAGGAAGAUACCGGGAUUAAUAAGGAAUCUUAGAGCUGCUUGAAUUCAAUGAC
rnacentral:lncRNA from 1 species